rnacentral:rRNA from 1 species
CCUACGGGAGGCAGCAGUGGGGAAUAUUGCACAAUGGAGGAAACUCUGAUGCAGCGACGCCGCGUGAGGGAAGAAGGUCUUCGGAUUGUAAACCUCUGUCUUCAGGGACGAUAAUGACGGUACCUGAGGAGGAAGCACCGGCUAACUACGUGCCAGCAGCCGCGGUAAU